CGUGAGUCUGUGUCACGUUUUCCUGGACACCACGUUGAUGAAUUUUCCGUAUAAAAAGGGAAGAGUUUCCCUCAAUUGGCACAGUCAGUUCAAACAGUCAACUGAAGCAAACUAAUCCAAAAUGAUGAAAUUCUUGAUCUUCGCUUUCCUCAUCGCCUUCGCUGUGGCCGCUGCUUUCGCCAACCCCGAGCCAGCUCCUCGUCCAGCUCCUCUUCCAGUGCCACAACCACAGCACGGUUAUGGAUACGGUGGUUAUGGCGGUUAUGGAGGAUAUGGUGGAUAUGGAUACUACUAAAGCUGACACAAUUUCCUGGAUCUGAACACCUUUCAAGUGGGAAGUACAGCUUGUUACUGGAUAAAAAAUGAUUUAAUUUGGACCUUAAAAUCGAAAAAGAUUUUACAUUUUUAAAAUUUUGAUAAAAUUCAUGAAUUGAAGAAUAAAUUUUUGCUUUAAAAACUAAGAAAA